rnacentral:siRNA from 1 species
CCAUCGUUUGAUAGUGCAGUUCCG